ACAAAAAUGAAAAAUGAGAUUUUCAUAUGACAAUGUCAAGUGUCAUCCAUCACAUCAAAGUACGAGAUCUGUCAACAGCUCAAAUAAUACCUCAGCGUAAUGUGAUUAUCUUCUUGAAAUGUGUUUCUUCCGUAAAAAUGUCGAAAACGGCACUUCAAUCUCAACCAAGAAAUAUUGUUUUCAAUGUUUUUCGUAAGAGUUGACCGAUAAGGGUUUCCAGUACUACUAAACGGCGAAUCGUAGCUGAGGGCACACCGAAUGAUGGUUUGUUUUCCAAGCCUGGUAAAAAGAGGAGAGAGAGGACGAAGAAAUUCAACUUCGACAGUUUCGAUGUACAGUUGAUUGGGAAUAAAGUAAAGGAAUUCUAUACAGUACGGAAGGAAAUUCCAACAGUUUUUGAAGCGUAUAAAGGAAAACCGCGGAGCUGAAGAGCAUAAUAAAUUGGAUGUGAUUAAUUUAGACGACAUUUACAUUCACGGUUCAUGUUCUGUGAAUAAGUGCUGGCAAAGCAAAGUUAUUGCAGGUCCAUAUAAUAAUCCUGAUGAAAAAAUAGAUUUGUACCAAAUUCUUGGCUGGUGUACAAAUCAACAGACUACCACUACGAUAUGAAUAAAGACAAUUUUACCAAAACACAAAAAACGUUCAUUAAUUGUUAUGAAUAAUGCUAGUUAUUAGUCUGUAUGUACGAACAAACCGCCCAAACACGCCAAUCGUAUCGCUGAUACAAAAAAUGGUUCCGUGAAAAUGAUUUACAUUAUGAUGAUGUUUGGCAUAAAUGGCAACUACUUGAUGUAGUGAAACAAAUUAUGUCUGCGCUCUUAUAUCAAAUAUCAAAAUCGCACGCACUUUUAAGACUCUCACCUUAUCAUUGCACAUUGAAUCCCAUAGAAAUGAUUUGGGGUAUAAUGAAGUUAUAAGACAGUUGUUAAUAAACAUGUAAAUAGACGUGUAAAUGUGGCAUGGCAUGUGACAGAAAAUCAUUAACAGAAGAAACUUUCUCACAAAUUGGUGCAGAGGAUUGUCGGAAAUGUUGUGAAAACGAUUUCAUGAAGCAAGUUAUGAUAUUUGAAGGAAGAGCGAUGUAUAACAAACACCUUCAUGAUGUGAUGAAGAACAAGAUAUGUAAGUAGAGUUAUUGUAAUCGUUUUCUAGUUCAGACUGAGGUUUAAGGUUAUUUGUAUGAUUGAAAUGAAUAAUAUAUACAUAAAGUAAUUUA